CCCUCCCUCCCCGGAUGUCCCCGGCUGGGGGCCUAACCUUCCGGGAUGAAACCCGCGCCUGAUACUUGUGUUUGCUGAUGCUUUCACUCGGGUAAUCUCUCCAUCAUUCACUUAGCCCGGGCUUGCCGCGCUCGGGGUCCCACGUCUGCCUUGCGGAUAUACUAAGGGUCUGCCCCUCCUUUCCCUGAGAUAGCCCUUCCCACACCUGGGAUUCAAAUUCGGGAUCCCCUAGUCUAGGGGUCCUAAGCACGGGCGCCCAUCGUCUUGUUUGCGUGUGCAUGUAGUCGCCCCCGUUUUUUGUUUUUGUUUUUCAGUUGAGACAAUCAGGGCUAAGGCCUAUUUUAAUAGCAUCAGUCUCCUAGCCCCUGAGGUUCCUGACCCUCCAAAUCCCGCUUCCGCUUUUUCAUUGGCUAUCCCGGGGCUUUUCUCUCCCUUGAAGUCUCCGCCCCCGGUUUCUGGGCUGCCACCGUUCUAGUUUCAGUCCAAAUCUGCCCUUCGAGGAAGCCGGAAGGGCCCCCACUCAAAGCUCUUGCCUCCCUUGGUGAUUAGCUCCAAGGGAGCCUGUAUGAAUGUUGUGUGGGGUGUUCCAAAGUCUACAAAUGUGGGGGACACCUCUCGAAGUUCCCCACCAGCACCCACUCUUUAGAUGUCUCCAUGGCUCGCUCUCUGGAUGCAGAUGGGCGUUUGCCAUCCCAAGUCUGUUGGCAUUGCCUUGGAUCACCACCUUGCUGAGAAGAUCCAAGUCCAUCACAGUCAAUUGUCUCACAAUCUGAGCAAGUUCUCAAUGAAUAUUGUUGGAAGAGAACAGGCGACUCUUCUUUCUUAUUGAUUAUGUGACCUUGGACUCUUCAUUGCUUCUGUAAAGAGAGUUGGAAGCGGUCUUUUUCUUUGCAUACUUAGCAUCUAGUAUGGAUCUCCACCCUUAUCACCUUGUAUUUCCCUCCAGACUCCAGUGUUUUGACACUUAGUAAAAGUACUUAAUAAAUACUC